rnacentral:rRNA from 1 species
GGUACAGGGCGGGCAGCCUACACAUGCAAGUCGAGCGGUAGCACAAAGAGAGCUUGCUCUCUGGGUGACGAGCGGCGGACGGGUGAGUAAUGUCUGGGAAACUGCCUGAUGGAGGGGGAUAACUACUGGAAACGGUAGCUAAUACCGCAUGACGUCUUCGGACCAAAGUGGGGGACCUUCGGGCCUCACGCCAUCAGAUGUGCCCAGAUGGGAUUAGCUAGUAGGUGGGGUAAUGGCUCACCUAGGCGACGAUCUCUAGCUGGUCUGAGAGGAUGACCAGCCACACUGGAACUGAGACACGGUCCAGACUCCUACGGGAGGCAGCAGUGGGGAAUAUUGCACAAUGGGCGCAAGCCUGAUGCAGCCAUGCCGCGUGUAUGAAGAAGGCCUUCGGGUUGUAAAGUACUUUCAGCGAGGAGGAAGGCAUUAAGGUUAAUAACCUUGGUGAUUGACGUUACUCGCAGAAGAAGCACCGGCUAACUCUGUGCCAGCAGCCGCU